rnacentral:lncRNA from 1 species
UAGAACUCCAAACAGAGCAACGGUGAAGCAUUAGGGGAAAACUGAAAAUAGACUGCUCGGUGAAAAUUGUCUUCCAUACAUCAGGAAAUGGUCCUCAGGUGGGCCUUCCACACCCAGAACCGUGCUGACUCAAUUCAGCUGGGUGCCACAAGUUCACCACCAGCUGUCA